rnacentral:other from 1 species
AAAUCCCUGCUUUGUGCGGCAGAUAAGCAGUUAUUUAAUCCAACACUUAUUGAUUUGGGAGCCCGGACCUCGGGCGGCGGACUGCAGACCUCCCGGCGUUUUCCCGCCGGACGAAGGGAGCGCGAAACCAUCCGGAGGGCACCCACCUGUCUUCGUACGGGUUUCAUUAAGGCUUAUCACCGGCAACGCGGGGUUUUU